GACGUAGGGGGCCAGCGUUGUUCGGAAUUACUGGGCGUAAAGGGUUCGUAGGCGGUGUGGCAAGUCGGGAGUGAAAUCUCCAGGCUCAACUUGGAGGCUGCUUCCGAAACUGCCGCGCUAGAGUGCGAGAGAGGCCAGUGGAAUUGCAGGUGUAGCGGUGAAAUGCGUAGAUAUCUGCAGGAACACCCGUGGCGAAGGCGGCUGGCUGGAUCGCAACUGACGCUGAGGAACGAAAGCUAGGGGAGCAAACAGG
rnacentral:rRNA from 1 species